rnacentral:rRNA from 1 species
CCUACGGGUGGCAGCAGUAGGGAAUCUUGCACAAUGGGCGAAAGCCUGAGGGAGCAACGCCGCGUGGGUGAAGAAGGCCUUCGGAUCGUAAAACCCUGUUGUUAGAGAAGAAAGUGCGUGAGAGUAACUGUUCACGUAUCGACGGUAUCUAACAAGAAAGCCACGGCUAACUCCGUGCCAGCAGCCGCGGGAAUACGUAGGUGGCAAGCGUUAUCCGGAUUGAUUGGGCGUAAAGGGAACGCAGGCGGUCUUUUAAGUCUGAUGUGAAAGCCUUCGGCUUAACCGGAGAAGUGCAUUGGAAACUGGUAGACUUGAGUGCAGAAGAGGGGAGUGGAACUCCAUGUGUAGCGGUGAAAUGCGUAGAUAUAUGGAAGAACACCGAUGGCGAAGGCAGCUCUCUGGUCUGUAACUGACGCUGAGGUUCGAAAGCGUGGGUAGCAAACAGGAUUAGAUACCCGAGUAGUC